GCGUUACUGAAGUGGGAACAGUUGUCGAUGACCUUGAGAAGUGAUGAGAGUUCGACAAAUCUCCAACUGCGUGCAAAUUCGACACAACACUCAAACAUUGCUGCAAAGAUAAAACAGGGUGUAGCAGAUGCGACACACUCUAUUGGCUACAUGUUUAGGUACUAAAUGUCUUCAAGGACCCUCGCAUUACUGCUGAAGAUGUCCCAGAAAUUUUGAAGACAUAGUGGUGUAAACCUUUAUUCAGUGGUGUCUUUAAAACUUGUUCUAAUAGUAGAUGUCAAAUGUACAAACUCAGCGCGAGCACACACAGUUUUAACAGCCAUGCCACUGAGAGAUGCUACGGAAUUCUUGGGAGCGCAUCCAGUCGCACGGACAACUGCAUCUACCACAUAAGCUACAAUGUCUAUAAACAACAAUACGUAGGGGAAACUGGAGACCAUUGUAGAAGGAUCAAUAACCACUGGUCUACCAUUAAAACCAAAAGGGUCAAAAAACCUUUGCGAAACAUUUCAAUUUCACGGGACACAAAUGGCAAGACAUAACAGUAGUGUUUAUUGACCAUAACGCUGGCGGGAGCGAUAAGGACUGGAAAAGGAGAAAUUCUGGAUACAUAGACCGAAGUCAUUCCGCCACGAAUGCCAUGAACAGAUUUAAUGACUUCACCAAAAUGAAUUGCAUUGCUUGUCAUGUCUAUCACGCAGUUAUGCACAAGAUCAAUGUCCAUACCUGGUUCUCCACACCCUUCAGCGUUACACAGAUCAGAGCGGCAACAUCCAGUGCACGUGUACGGAUGCUUGUUUCCCUCCCCGUGGGUUUCUAUGCGAUUUGUUUCAUUUUGCUCCCUGCAAUCCUAUGUAUAUUUGAUAGAAAUAAAAUUGAAAUGAUCAAAACGAAUAGACAUAGCGAGGUGCAUGUACUUGCUUUCU